rnacentral:antisense_RNA from 1 species
AUCAGUAACUCAGGCUGUUUCCCACACUACAGGCCAGCACCGUGGGCUCUCAGUUUAUAGGGAAAUGGAAAUAAGAGGGAAGGACAAAAGUCCACUGGGAAGCAGACUGGACAGAAAGGAACUCUGAGCAGCUAAACUCUGACUAAUCCCAGGGUAUACCUGCAUUUUCUCUUCACCAGACAAACUGCGGCCUGGACCAGCUGGUGAAACAAUUCUGAAUCCUGCCCACAGCCUUCGGUGGUUUUGGAUGAAAGGCCAGCGCCUUGGGAGCCCUGCGUUUGAUUUCAGGUUUUAAGGCCGGCACUGGUGGAGCAAUGAAUGGUGAAAGCUCUCCCCUUAAAGGAGCACAAUUGCCUUUAGGUGACUGCUAACUCAGGCUUUUGCUGAGGACAGUGUUUACUUUGUGAGCUUAAUGACAGGGCUGGCUUUCUGGGAGUGUUGCAAUGAAACAGACUCAGACACAGGCCAUCAUGGACCUCCUCCCUAGCAAGGCUGCCAUGGCUGGCAUCUCAAGAGCAGUCCAUUGAACUUGGGAUUUGGGUGUGAGACACAGUUUCAUCAGAAGAAUUUAAACCAAAGUCUACAUUUGCCCUCUAGAUAAAUGUGUGUGUUCAGCAGCAACCACAACUCCUUGCCUCAUUCUCUUGGUUGAUUAUGUGACUGUGAGAAGAAAAGCAAAAGCAAAAGUGAGAAGCAUAGCUAUGAUGCUAUUUUAGUUAAAAAU